UGGGGAUUAGUCCAGUGGUAGGACGCCUGUCUCUGGAUCAGGAAGCGAGGGUUCGAAUCCCCCAUCCCCAGCCA
rnacentral:tRNA from 5 species